rnacentral:rRNA from 1 species
UUUAGAGUUUGGAUCCAUGGCUCAGAAUGAACGCUGGCGGCGUGCUUAACACAUGCAAGUCGAACGAGAAAGUUCCNUUCGGGGGAUAAGUAAAGUGGCGCACGGGUGAGUAACGCGUGGAUAAUCUACCCUUGAAUUCGGAAUAACAUCGCGAAAGCGUUGCUAAUACCGGAUGAUGUUGUGUUUUCUGCGGGAGAUACAGCCAAAGAAUGCCUCUUCUUGAAAGCAUUUGUUUGAGGAUGAGUCCGCGUCCCACUAGCUAGUUGGCGGGGUAACGGCCCACCAAGGCAGUGAUGGGUAGCUGGUGUGAGAGGAUGAUCAGCCACACUGGGACUGACACACGGCCCAGACUCCUACGGGAGGCAGCAGUGAGGAAUUUUGCGCAAUGGGGGAAACCCUGACGCAGCAACGCCGCGUGAGUGAAGAAGGCCCUUGGGUCGUAAAGCUCUGUCAAUGGGGAAGAAGUUGCAGAGUUCUAACAGGGCUUUGUAUUGACGGACCCAUGAAGA